rnacentral:rRNA from 1 species
GUGCUAAGGUAGCAUAAUAAUUUACCCUUUAAUUGGGGGCCAGAAUGAACGGUGAUACUACCUAAGAUAUGACACCUCUUAUGUGAACCUUUAGUCUGAGUGAAAAUGCUCAGGUUCUAACCUUAGACAAAAAGACCCUAUGAAGCUUACAGCCUCCUUAUCACAUAAAUUUCUUGCUGUUUAUUUGGGGAAAAGCACAAUAAUAUUAUUUCUAUGUGUAAGAUCCUUAUAAGAAUUACGAAAAAGCUCCUCUAGGGAUAACAGCGCAAUACCAUUUUAGAGUUCACAUUAAAAGUGGUGCUUGUGACCUCGAUG